rnacentral:lncRNA from 1 species
GGGGAAACUCGUGGACCUGAUUAUCCUUCGUCAAGGUCUUGAAAUCAUGCCAUCGGACAACACGAUGUGACAUUUGCCUGACAGUGUUCUCCUUCUGGCUGAAUCCAGUGUGUGUGCCCAUAAACCUGUGCUUUCCCUCUACACGACUGAGCCGCAAGGAGACACCUGUCGAAGAAAAAUCUCUCGGCCGGUGAGCGUCCCCACACCCCCCGGACCUUUCACGAGGAGGAAUUCCAAGCUCAGGUUCCUUCCUCUUCCCCGCCAUCUACCAUUGCCAGGAUCCAGUCUGUCACACCCAUCCCCCACCAUUGACUUUGAAUUUGGCAAGUCCCCAAGGUGGAGACAUUUUGGGCUGAGUCCUUCAGAUUAAGUGGCUCUCCAGGC